UUCUUCCACCUACCAGUGUAUAGUAGAAGCAGCAGCAGCAGCAGCAGCAGCAGCAGCAGCAGCAGCAGGAGCUAGGAAUCUCUUAAUUGCUUUGUGCUUGUCAAGAUUAUGCAACUUUCCAGACCCUGCCCCUGAAGCAGACCCUAGAGAAGAUUAGAAGUCGAUUCACCGGGGAGGCGACCCAUAGCAGGGACCCGGUAGACCCUGGAGUGGGCAGGGUCUGUUGGUGAAAGAGGAAGGAGAAAAACGGUUAAUUGGAAAAGCUUGGAUUUUGAGAAUUCAAGAUCAUGGAAAACUGCCAGAAGGAAAUGGGUCUUCUCCUCUCCCAAAUGGUCCCAUAACUAGUCUGGCCACCUUGAGCCAUCCAAGAGGAGAAUGUGGUCAGGGACCGUGACUCAGCUUAAGAAGCUACAUUUAUAUCUAUAUCUACACACAUGUUCUACCGACUAUGACCACACCACCAUGGCCCAUGCCCAUACACCCACGUGUGAACCAAGAGGCAGGUAAUGUGCCGAUGACGACGUCUACAAGGUUUGAGGGAGGCACCUCUCAAAACCGAAUCAUCAUGCUUGCAAACUACAAAAGACUCUUUCUUGGUACUUUUCUUGUUUGAAAGUACCUACAUUUUGGGGCUCAAGACUCAGAAAGUCAGAGUGGAGAGUUGGGUGCCAUGCUCCAUUCUGCUUUUCCUGAAGUGCCUCAAAUGCUAGGCAGAGUCCCUGCACUCUCCGUGAUAGGAAUCUCCUCUGUGGCCAAAAUUGGGCCUCCGUUUUUUUCACCGCAGGAAUAUACAUGUCCUCAUGGCCGUCUCCUGCCUGGGCAGCAGCGAAGCCUCCCCAGACUGCUCUGCCCUGUGGAAGAAAAGGCCUAGGUCCUGCUGUUUUCCCAGUCUCCUUUCCUGGGAGGUGGCCAUGACUCGCUCCCAUUAACCUGGGCAGAGGCUGUUUCCCAUCUCUUCCUGCAUGAGUUACUUCAUGGAGCCUCGGAGGAGGAGCCCUGGACUCUGCUCGCCUGGGAUUCCUGCUGUUCUACCCACUGUCCACCCAGAAGCUCCCUUCCCCGGGUCUGACAUGACUUUCUCUUCUGAGCCAGGCCCAGCAGGAAGGAUGCGUUUGUGUUCGGCCCUGCAUUCCUGCAGUGUCCCUCGGGUGUGUGGCUGGAAAUGAUUUGUGUAAGGCACUCAGCCAGCCUCCCUUUUAAUCACUCCCAUACUCACAGACAGAGGGAAUCCCAGCCCCUCACCCAGGAGAGGGAAGGAACCUCCUUCAUUUUGACAGGGCCUCCCUCCGUGGUGGGGUAAGCAGUGAUUCUGGUCUCCAGGAAAGAUGCUUCCAAGAGCCUCUUUCUCUGAGGCCUAAUUAUGAAAUCGAUAUCUUCAGGAACCCCUCCUCCUUCCCUGGAGCUUCUGCAGGCAGACACUGCCCAGAUAAUGUUCAAACAUGCAUUGACCCGGCAGGGCUUCCUGAGCACCACUCUGGCUGGGGAGGAGGAUGGGAUCAGCUGGGCCUGGAAGAAUGGGCAGGGUUUGCUUAGGACGUUUCGGGGAGGCAGAUGGUGUAAGCUGGGGAUGGGGUGAGGAAGGGAGAGAGUUAGGGGCAGCUUGAGGGAAAUAGGGGUGUUUGUUGGGGAAGAGUGAGUGAUGACUGGUCAGAGUCCCAACAGCAAACAGAGGACACAAUUAAAAUGGGAUAGUUCCAGGAUAGUUUAUUUGCAUAGGUGUGAUCACAGGGAAACCACAAAGAAUAGUGCAGUUAACUGGUCUUAGUAAGAGCCAAGGUGUUAUCACCUCUAGGCACAAAGAGACAAAGACCAGAACAGAGAGUCCUGCAGAGCAACUUGACUUGGAAGGAACAGAAGACUUCAGUCCAGGGGCACAGUAAGCUGGAGGCAACCUUGCAGGGAGAGACCCAGGCAGAGCUGGAUUUGUAGUGACGCUGGCGAAGUUUAAGCUUCAGGAUCCCACGCUUGCACAGGUGACUUCCAAAGCCGGGAGGAGUUCUAGCGAUGUAUUCAUAUGUCACACAUUUUGUAAAUUUUGCAAAAGUAAGAUAGUUUCAUCCCAGUUUCCCUCCACUAUACAUAUCUCAUGGUUGGGUGGCUUUGGAGUCGUUGCGGGCAUUUUUAGGAUCUGGUUAAGGGGGAGAUGGGUUUUGGUUUGGUUGGGUAUAUGUAAGUUGCUCACAGCCACUUUUUUUUUUCUUUAGGAUGGAGUCUCACUCUGUCACCCAGGCUGGAGUGCAAUGGUGCAAUCUCAGCUCACUGCAACCUCCGCCUCCCGGGUUCAAGUGAUUCUCUUGCCUCAGCCUCCCGAGUAGCUGGGAUUACAGGUGUGCACCACCAUAGCCAGCUAAUUCUUGUAUUUUUAGUAGAGAUGAGGUUUUACCAUGUUGUCCAGGCUGGUCUCGAUCUCCUGACUUCAAGUGAUCCGCCCACCUCGGCCUCCCAAAGUGUUGGGAUUAUAGGCAUGAGCCACUGCACCCAGCCCACAGUCACUUCUGAAUAUACUUAAUUCAUCACUAGCUGUCCUGAUGUCAAAAUGGCUUUCAGGAAUACUCUCACCUCCAACUCACCUGGUGUCAUGACUUGAAGGUGAUGACAGGUCAUAUUGCAAUAUGUAUGUGGUUAGUGGAAGAGAACAGAGGUUUGUAAGGUAUGGAACCAGAAGAUAGCCUAUGGCAAAUUCUUCCCAUCAUCAGACGUACAAUUUUAAGUGGAGAAUUCAGUUCUCUUGGUCAGAAACAUAAUGUAGUACAUGCAACUCUAAAUACACCAUACUAUUUUCUCUUAAAAUGGAAUCUCACCCUUCAGAAAUUCUUAAACAUCUGUGUUUGUAGCCUAUAAGCAUAAUAACAUUUCAGAUCGUACCAAAAGUAGUAAUUUUUUAAGAAGAAGAAAGAAAAGGCAGGUAGAAAUAAAGGCCCUUGGACCAGCUGGUAAUCUUAUUGUUAAAGGAAAGUAAAACAUAUUAACUCACUGGGAAAAGCUUUACAUUUCUUGCUACUUUGAUAAAAAAUGCUGACAUCUUUGAAGCUGUCUUAGAUUGGGUUCCCUGGAGGCUGACCAUGAAAUGGAAAGUUGUGGGCCGGAGGCUUACCGUGGAGUGCUCUCAGGAGACAUAUGUGUGAGGAAAUGAGGAUGGCAGGAUUGGGAGAAGCUGAUCAGAAAUAUGGCCUCAGCCAAUCUGAUAUCCCCAGCAGCUGAAGGAUGGCUGUGUUGGCCUGAAGAGGGGAUCUGUGCGGUGGCCACAGCUCCCUCCACAGAUGAUAACGUAGGUCUCAUGAUACAUCACUACAAUGGGGACACCAAAGACAAACUGACUUCUCAUGUACAUCACUGCAAUGGGGACACCAAAGACAAAUGGACUUCUCAUGAUACAUCACUACAAUGGGGACACCAAAGACAAACUGACUUAUAAGUGUCAUCAGCUCAAAGAGUAAUGAAGAUUACUUCCUGCACCAGGAAAUUUGAAAUGUCUGAAAUCUUAGUUAUAUAUGGAAGAAAAUGAUAAUGUUCCAUCAUUUGACAUUCCAUCAUUUGACAAUAAUCUCAAAAUUCCACAUGAUGUUACAAUGAGUGGUGAAACUGAAACAGUUGUAGAUGAUCAAUGAUAAAAAUAAAAUUUCAGGCUGGGCACGGUGGCUCACUCCUGUAAUCCCAGCACUUUGGGUGGCUGAGGCAGGUGGAUCACCUGAGGUCAGGAGUUCAAGACCAGCCUGGCCAACAUGGCAAAACCCCAUCUCUACUAAAAAUACAAAAAUUAGCUGGGUGUGGUGGCGCGUGCCUGUAAUCCCCGGUACUCGGGAGGCUGAGACAGGAGAAUCGCUUGAACCUAGGAGGCAGAGGUUGCAGUGAGCUGAGAUUGCACCACUGCACUCCAGCCUGGGUGACAGAGCAAGACUCCAUCUCAAAAAAUAAAAUAAAAUAAAAUAAAAUUUCAACCAAGCCUACUGAAGACUGCGUUAUAUUUCCAUUCUUUCUGUGGGAAAUUAUAUUACACAGUUGUUGUAUGAGAUGUAAAGUAUAUGCAGCAGAAAGAUAUGGGAAAAAGGUAUUGUAGAGUUUUCUAGGCAAUUAAGAAAAAUAUCGUUAUUUUUCUACGUUUUGUGAUACUGUGUUGUUUGUAAGCUUUUUAAAAAGUGUAAUUUGUCAC
rnacentral:lncRNA from 1 species